GGUCAUUGAUAAAGUAUACAGGCCCUCUCUAUUUAAUAAACUCUGUGAGUGCCGUGGAUAGUUAACUUGAAAAUGAUAGCAAAUAGAAUUUUGAAAAUACACUUUAUUCUGUGUAUAUGUAUGUUCAAAGUAUACAGAAAAGUAUACAGACCCUCUCUAUUUAAUAAACUCUGUGACUGCCGUGGAUAGUUAACUUGAAAAUGAUAGCAGAUAGAAUUUUGAAAAUACACUUUAUUCUUUGUAUAUGUAUGUUCAAAGUAUACAGAAAAACGCAAACCGGAAGUCUAAUCUUACUUAAAAUUUCGUCCAAUGACGGAACAAUAUCGGGAUGCCUUUUUUCUCGUUUUUCUCCAAAAAUAACUCAAUCUGAAUAAUCAUAUGAAUGGAUGACAAAUGCCACUAUGCACUGUACCUAUAGGACACAGAGGCGUGUUGAUUAAUUUAUUGUGGAAAGAAGAGAAGCGACACCAAAAAUGAGGUCUUCUCGUUUAAUAGUAUAGAAG
rnacentral:lncRNA from 1 species